rnacentral:tRNA from 1 species
UUACUUAGCAGUGUCUGGGCACAAAGAAUUUUGAUUUCUUAAGUAAGAAAUAACUCUUCUAGUAAG